AUCUACGGCAAUAUGAAAAACAUCUCAUUGUUCUUUUUGUUCUGGAUCGCGGAAGGUGUGUUUGGUGAAAUCGUCUCAGAGAAAGAGGGAAAUUCUAUUACGCUACGCUCUGGUCUCACUGAAAUAAAGAAAGACGAUGUGAUAGAUUGGAGAGACAGACUGAAGCUGGACGGUCAGACUGGAGAUCUCAACAUUACAAACAUCAAAACCACAGACCAAGGAGAUUAUGAAGUAACCAACAGCAUCAACACCUUUAGGAAGACCCUCACUGUCAAUGUGAUAAAGGAAGAAAAACCUACAACAAGUGUACUCCCAGGUCCGCCUUCAGGUGCUGCCACAGUGAUUGUUGGUGGUGUUGUGCUGCUGGUGGCUGCAGCUGCUGCUGUGAUCGCUACGGGAUAAAAAAAUGUGUAAGUAUUAUAGCCAAGGGCGUGGAUUUUCUGAACAUCGGGGGGUUAUGCUUUCUGUUAUUUGUUUUACACUGUCUAAAUGAGUCACUUGAAUCAUUCAUUCAGCUGAUUCAUUCAGAAACGCUGAUUAAUUCUGAUGUGGCUUUGUUCAGAACUAUUUUCGUUGGUGAAAUAGGAAAAACAGACAAUAUUCUGUCAACAAUGUAUGUCAUUAACAAUACGUUCUUACUUACUCAACUGUUCAAUAUCACACUUGCAAUUAUGAUGAUAUUCAGGAAAACACACUUUUGUUCACGAUAACCACUUCCAGUCUGCAAAACCAUGGUGAUAAUUAUGGGAACUAUUAAACAGUUAAUAAACAAUUAGUAUAUUUAAAUAAUAUUGAGCUU
ensembl:lncRNA